AGGAGCUUGCUCCUUUGACGUUAGCGGCGGACGGGUGAGUAACACGUGGGUAACCUACCUAUAAGACUGGAAUAACUCCGGGAAACCGGGGCUAAUGCCGGAUAACAUAUAGAACCGCAUGGUUCUAUAGUGAAAGAUGGUUUUGCUAUCACUUAUAGAUGGACCCGCGCCGUAUUAGCUAGUUGGUAAGGUAAUGGCUUACCAAGGCGACGAUACGUAACCGACCUGAGAGGGUGAUCGGCCACACUGGAACUGAAACACGGUCCAGACUCCUACGGGAGGCAGCAGUAGGGAAUCUUCCGCAAUGGGCGAAAGCCUGACGGAACAACGCCGCGUGAGUGAUGAAGGGUUUCGGCUCGUAAAACUCUGUUAUUAGGGAAGAACAUAUGUGUAAGUAACUGUGCGGGGGCUUGACGGUACCUAAUCCGAAAGCCACGGCUAACUACGUGCCAGCAGCCGCGGUAAUACGUAGGUGGCAAGCGUUAUCCGGAAUUAUUGGGCGUAAAGCGCGCGUAGGCGGGUUCU
rnacentral:rRNA from 1 species